ensembl:lncRNA
GUAUGGGAGGGUGCGGCAUGGAUGGAGGGAGGGAGGGAAUGUAUUGCUGUUGGGAAUCCAUAGUGAGAGGACAGGGCAGCUGGCAGGGGCCCUGAGCAGCCACCAUGAGGCAGGCAGGCUCAGCCAGGGGGCAGUUGGAAGUGUCCCUCCCCUCUGCUCCUUGCCAGGAGUUCAGCCCUUUGAGCCUGCCUGUUGGGGACUCUGGGAGAGUUGGGGCAGUGAAUGUGUUAAGGACAUCUCCCCAGCUCCUUGCUGGCUCCCGGCGAAAGCCAAAGCAGCAGCAUACACCUGGUUCUGAUGUCUUUACCAGGCUGUUAUAAUGCCCAGGCUGCACGCGGAAACCUGAGCUGCUUUUGACCAGCAAACUCCUCGGCUAAGGAGCAUAAAUGUGGGGAUGGUUUCAGAGUGCCUGGCUGCCCCUGCUCUCCCUGUGAAGCACAUGACUCCACCCCAUUCUAUUCUGUUAGAGUUAAUUGCCCUGCAGUGAGGAUAUCUCACACCUCAGCCCAGGAAUACAGCAGAGAAAGGAUCCCCCACAGGUAACUGGAUGGUGCAGGGUCAGCUUGGACAACUGAUGGGUCCCCAAACCACAUCUGAAUGAAAUGGGCCUGUGGCAUGCCUCGCUGGUGGCUCUUUUUGCCCAGCUCAGGCUGUCAGCCGCCCCUGUGGUUCCAAGUAGAGCUGCAACCACCCCUGGGAGUGGGCAGCUGAUCCCAGAGGUAGAUCUUAACAGGACAGCUCCACAGUCAACAACUUAUUUCCUGCUGACUCUGAGACUCCCAGGGAAGAGGGGGCUAGAGGCUGGCAUACAGCUCCCAGAAUCCAGGCAGUGUGGGCCCUGCCUACCACAGGGCCUGGCAGCGGGGUAGCGAGCAGGCCAGGGCUGGGGAACAUGGCUCAGGAAAUCUCCUGUUCCCUUUGCUGGGGUCGGCUGCACACAAGUCCGAAACAGCAAAUAUCUGUGAAGAGGGGUGUGAGUGGAGGCUGGUGCUGGCCCUGUGUCCUGCCAGGGUCCCAGGGCUCCAUGCUGGAGGAAAGCUCCCCCAAAGGUGGCCUGGGCAGAUUCCAGAGGCCAUUUGGUCCUCCCUCCACCCCACCACUCCCACCUUACCUCACAGAAGGCCGGCAUCAUCUAGGUCUGAGAGAACUUGCUUUCCCAGGAAACCUGGUGGUAGGGGAUUCUGGUGAGAAUUGGAGACAACCAGGUGCUUGCUCAACAAGACCAGCGCUCGCCCACCCGCCCGGGGACCAGCCUGCGGCGGCCUGCAGGAGCACGAGGCCGAGGUGGAGAAUCCGUGCAGCGGGCCCCGCGCCAUGUACAGCCCCGGCACGUCCACAGAGCCCCAGGAACCAUCAAGGGACUCCCGUCUCAGCAGCUGGGGACACGCCUGUAAGUGUGCAGUGUUCCAGUCAACUAAAUGGACUUGCCUUCAGCCAGGAGGGAGCCAGUUCUGCAGGACAGAACUAAUAUUGGGUCUCCCAGGAAGCUCUUCAUCAAAACAGCCCUUGUCCUUUUGUUUUUGUUUCUGAAUUAAAAAGAUGCCUUUGCCUUCCUCUCCGUAUUCACCCCCUGAUU